rnacentral:snRNA from 1 species
ACACUCACUUUGGCAGCAUAUAUACUAAAAUUGGAACAACACAGAGACAAUUAGCAUGGCCCCUGUGCAAGGAUGACAUAUGCAAACUCAUAAAGCAUUAUAUAUUUUU